rnacentral:lncRNA from 1 species
ACUCCCUGUGCUCAGCACCACUCUGCUCCUACUUUGUGCCAGAAGCUAGAGGCAGAAACCCUCAUCGGGCCAGACUGUGGUCAAAGGGAGCCCAGACUGGCGGUAACACUGGCCAUGGUAGGGUAGCCUUAAGCUUCUGGGGGACCCCAUCCUGGAGCCACCCAUGUUUAACAGCUACGCACACCCUUCCCUUGGAGAAGAAGUUGGUGAUGGGGCGAGAUGAUUAAGCUGGGCGGCAAAGAGCUGAGUCCCUU